rnacentral:lncRNA from 1 species
UUUAUUUUAAAAAAAAAGGUCUGGCGUAACCCAGACUUUUUUCUUUCUCCUUGUUAAGGAUCUCACGUGUGAAGGCUGGACUAAAGCCUGCGGACUUGGGCCGGCCCAAACGUUUUUGCCCAAUCGCUAGUUGAAAGUUAAAAUUCUUAAAUGGUCGUCCGGCUACUGCUUUCAAUGGCUUGGCUUUUGGGACGCGAGAAUCAUCGAGCGGGCUUUGGGCUUUGCCGUUUUAUAGCUGUUAUUUUUCUAUUCUCAAAUUAAACUAAAAACAAUUGGGUUCCCCAGGAAGUCCUGACCAAUCCCAAAUCUUCAAUCGAGAAAAAAUAUACUUGCGCAUCCCUUAAAUUGUCAAUUAUUUUUUAAUGCAUGCAAAUUUCGUAUCAAAUAGUAAGAGAUCUCGAAUCUCAAUCGGACGGCAACUUUUCCUGCCAACCCUACUUAACGCAUAAUAUGGCAAAAUCGCCCUUCUUUAAUUUUUUCUCUAUAUAGAAUUUGACUGAUUUUUUUUUUUUUUUUUUAAUGAAUGCAGGGUGCGGUAGUACAAUUAUGUAUGGGCAUGUGCACAUAGGAUUACACAGCAUUAGGAACCUGCGUUGCAUUAGACUAGUGCAAUCUUAUGUUUGGCUUCAAAUUAACCUUACAUUGCAUUAUAUAAACUUACUGUUGUAAUGCAAUAAACCUUACAUCGGAUUGCAUAAAUUUACUGUUGUAAUGCUGUCACGUCGGUGGGAUACAAGUAUUUAUCAGACACCAAUUCAUGACCAAAUCCACAACACUGCUAGUUCUUUUCUGGCCCAUUGCUUGAUGGUGAACCCAAAUCAACCACCAAUCCCCUAGAACAAGGUGAUGGUGAAAAAUAAGAGCUAACCUUUUUGUUUGAAUUUGAUGGUGCGAUACUCUGGUUGGAUUUUGAGUUUGAUAUGUGUUUAAUGGACGAAUCUUGGUUUGCUAAUUGUUCAUGCUGGUUUCUGGUUGUAGAACAGUAAGUAAGAAAAGAGGUAAGAUAAAGAUAAAAAUUCAAGUUCUUAAAGAGCAAGCAAGUUGUAAUCAACAAAUAUUAGAUCCAUUUUUUAAAAUUUAUUUUCAAUCUAAAAAA